GCGAUGAAGCGGGAGGUUGCGGCCCAAUGCGGCCGGUUUUUCCGUGGAGUAUGUCCGAUUUGAAACCGGGCGA
rnacentral:ncRNA from 1 species